UACAUGGGGUGCAAACGUUGCUCGGAAUUAUUGGGCGUAAAGCGCGCGUAGGCGGUUACUUAUGUCGGAUGUGAAAGCCCUCGGCUUAACUGAGGAAGUGCAUUCGAAACUGGGUAGCUAGAGUACUAAAGAGGGUCGCGGAAUUCCCGGUGUAGAGGUGAAAUUCGUAGAUAUCGGGAGGAACACCGGUGGCGAAGGCGGCUCUCUGGGACGGUACUGACGCUGAGACGCGAAAGCGUGGGGAGCGAACAGG
rnacentral:rRNA from 1 species